UGUGAGAUCAUGACCUGAGUGGAAACCAAGAGUCGGGUGCUUAACCGACUGAGCCACUCAGGGGCCCCACACAGGCUCUUCAUUCACAGAACAUAUGUCAUCCUUAGAGUGUUUCGGUUUAUCAGCCCCACUUUGCUGAUGUAGAAACCACACUCAGAUGAGUUACAUAACUGACCCGAGAUGACACCAUCAGUAAAAAGAACAUAAUCUAAGAUUUUUCUUUUGGCUGGUCUACAGUACUCUGUCUGCUUGGAAGGGAAGUUAUGGUUUCCUUAACAAUUGCAGGGAGGCUGGAUAGGAAAGGAUCCCCCAUCGUGGGGUGAGGCCAUACAAGGACAGAGCUUUGUCCUGGGACCUGCCGGUGCAGUGGGCAACCCGCCCAGUGGGAGGACGCUGUGGAGGGAGCACAGCGCCCAGCAUGUGGUGGUGGUUCACGCAGGUGCACAGGGAGACCAUCCAGAAAGGAGCGUCAGGUGCAGGUCAGAAAGCUCUAGUGUGGAUUGCUGUGAUUAUUCUGUGUCUUCCUUGUUCACUUUUCUUGUUCAGGGCGUGACGUCUGCUGUAGUAUCCUGCGUAAGUCACUUCUCCACGACAGGUGUCACUGUCUUGCCUCUGCAGAGUGGCUUUCUACAAUGUACAAAGCAAACCUGGAGGCGGGGGUGUGGGGAGAGGAGGCAGGAAGUAGUGCGAGGUGCCCGGGAGGCUGGAGGACAAAGAGGAGAGUUACCUGGCUCUUGAAUUCAUGUUCUCAAGAUAGAUGGUCAGACAAUAUGAGGGAUCAGCUUCCGGGAGAAAUGGGGCCAACAGUAGAGUUUUCCAGAGGUGCCAGGAGCUUCCGAGGAGGCCU